AACGAACGCUGGCGGCAUGCCUAACACAUGCAAGUCGAACGAGACCUUCGGGCCUAGUGGCGCACGGGUGCGUAACGCGGGGGGACAUGCCCUUAGGUUCGGAAUAACUCCCCGAAAGGGGUGCUAAUACCGGCGCAUGUCUUCCGACCAAAGAUUUAUCGCGUUUGGAUGGGCCGGCGUUGGAUUAGCUAGUUGUUAGGGUAAAAGCCUAUCAAGGCGACGAUGCAUACCUGGUCUGUGAGGAAGAUCAGCCACACUGGGACGGGGACACGGUCCAGACUCUUGCGGGAGGCAGCAGUGCGGGAUAUAGGAAAGUCGGGGGAGGGCUGAACGAGCUCUGACGGGUGAGUGAUGUAGGUCGGGGGGUUGGAAAGCUAGUUUACCCGUGAUGAUAAUGACGGUACCGGGAGAAUAAGCUCCGGCUAACUCCGUG
rnacentral:rRNA from 1 species